rnacentral:tRNA from 2 species
UUAAAGGAUAAAAGUAAUCCAUUGGUCU